AUGACCGACGAAUUCCUAAACACUAUGUACAGUUUGAGUUUACAUCCUAAAAUAACCAGGCCUAGCAGAAUUACACCACAUUGUGCCACCUUACUUGACAAUAUUUUCACCAACAAUAUGGAAAACAACAUCGUGAGCGGAUUAUUAAUUAAUGACAUCAGUGAUCACCUACCAGUUUUUGCAGUUUAUAACACUAAUUAUAAUAGAAAUCAGCAUGAAGAACAACUGAGAUACAGACGAGUAAGGACAGAAGAAACUAUGAAUGCACUUAAGAACGAUCUAUUAAAUCAGGACUGGGACAAUGUGUACAAAGAAACUGAUAUUGAUAUUGCAUAUGGCAUAUUUUUAAAAAUAUUCAUGGAAUUGUACGAUAAAAACUGUCCAACAAUAAAAUACAAUAGAAAGCACAAAUAUUCAGAUAGACCAUGGAUCACUAAGGGUUUACAAAAUGCAUGUAAAAAGAAAAAUACACUCUAUAGGGAAUUCCUAAAACAUAGAACAAAAGAUGCUGAAAAUAAAUAUAAAAAAUACAAAAAUAAGUUGACCAAUAUUAUACGUGUAUGUAGAAAGGAGUAUUAUAGUAAAACAUUGAACAACAAUAAACAUAAUAUGAAGGGAAUAUGGGAUGUUUUAAACGGUAUCAUUAAAAAUAAUUCUGGACAACAAAGUUAUCCUCAAUAUUUUAUUGACAAUGGCAAUAUUAUGGAAAACACUGCUGAUGUGGUCAACAGCUUUAAUCAUUAUUUUGUAAAUAUUGGACCAAAUCUGGCAGAACAAAUUCCUGAGUCACUGCCAUCAGUAGACUGUAGUGAAAACCUGAUUGAUAGGAACCCUAACUCAAUGUUCCUCACAGCAGUGGAGGAAAAAGAAAUAAUUGACACUGUACACAGGUGUAAAUAUAAAACAUCUACUGAUUGUAAUGAUAUUGACAUGAUAAUCAUCAAGAAGGUCAUUGAAGGAAUUGUAGGACCUCUAACAUAUAUUUGCAACUUAUCAUUUCAGACUGGAAAAGUUCCAAACAAAAUGAAAAUAGCUAAAGUUGUGCCGCUGUAUAAAACUGGGGAUAGACGCCACUUCACAAAUUACAGGCCUGUUUCUUUACUACCACAAUUCUCCAAAAUCCUAGAAAACCUGUUUAAUAAACGAUUAGACAAAUUCUUAGAUAAAUAUAAAUUACUCUCUGACAGUCAAUAUGGAUUGGCAAAAAAAAAAAAAAAACAUGCCAAAAAUCAGUGUCUCUGA
rnacentral:lncRNA from 1 species